rnacentral:misc_RNA from 1 species
CACAAUUAAAAUAUGAAGGCCCUUCAAACCGGCUGGAUUAUUUUUAUUCACCCUUGUCUUUUGCGCACUUGUUGUUUCCUGGGCGGGUUCGCUCGCCACCAGGACCACAUCAUAAACCUUUUUUGUUAAUGCAAUCAGCGUCAGUAUAACAAAUGUAAAUCAUUUA